AUUAUGAAAACUGUAUUAAAUCUAGGUGGACGUGAUCGAUAAGAUAACAAGAAAUCACAUGCUUACAGUCGUUCAUUCUUUUAAAAUGUACAAAAUGGGGUAUCUCACUUUUCUUGCGAUUCUCUUCAUUUCUUUUUCGACCACUUUUGCCGUCCACACUUGUUAUAUAUGUUCAAGCCUCGAGGACUGUAAAUCCUUACAAAAUCAAACUAGCUGUAAAAAGGAAGGUGACACUGAACACUAUCUUUGCCAGUCGAUGGAAGAUAAAACAGCAGGUGUUUUAUCGAGGAGUUGCAUGAAAAACAAUGCUGCUGACAUAAAAGUAUGUGAUGAACUUCAUCUAAAUGGAACCGUCGCAUGCUACCAUUGCGACAGAGAACUUUGCAACUCGGCACCAGGGUCGUCAGGUUCUAUAGUUAUUGCUUCCAUUAUAGCUUAUUUACUGAUAAAAUUUGUUUAAAGUCACAAAAAAUCGUAUAAUUCUCUUCUCUGAUAUUACUUACAUGAUUGUAAUAGGAAUAAAAGUUAGCUGAAAUUCUUGUAUUAAUAGUUUUAAUAUAGCUAAAUAUAUAAUGUACGUAGUUGUGCUAA